rnacentral:rRNA from 1 species
UACGAGGGGGGCGAGCGUUGUUCGGAGUUAUUGGGCGUAAAGGGUGCGUAGGCGGUUUGGUAAGUCUGAUGUGAAAUCUAUGGGCUCAACUCAUAGUCUGCAUCGGAAACUGCCGGGCUUGAGUGUGGGAGAGGUGAGUGGAAUUCCUGGUGUAGCGGUGAAAUGCGUAGAUAUCAGGAGGAACACCUGUGGCGAAAGCGGCUCACUGGACCAUAACUGACGCUGAUGCACGAAAGCUAGGGGAGCAAACAGG